UACGUAGGGUGCAAGCGUUAAUCGGAAUUACUGGGCGUAAAGCGUGCGCAGGCGGUGAUGUAAGACAGUUGUGAAAUCCCCGGGCUCAACCUGGGAACUGCAUCUGUGACUGCAUCGCUGGAGUGCGGCAGAGGGGGAUGGAAUUCCGCGUGUAGCGGUGAAAUGCGUAGAUAUCUGGAGGAACACCGGUGGCGAAGGCGGCAUCCUGGACCAACACUGACGCUGAGUGAGCGAAAGCCAGGGGAGCAAACGGG
rnacentral:rRNA from 1 species